GAGCCGCAGCGAAAGCGAGUCUGAAUAGGGCGUUUAGUACGUGGUCGUAGACCCGAAACCAGGUGAUCUACCCAUGUCCAGGGUGAAGUUCAGGUACUGAAUGGAGGCCCGAACCCACGCACGUUGAAAAGUGCGGGGAUGAGGUGUGGGUAGCGGAGAAAUUCCAAUCGAACCUGGAGAUAGCUGGUUCUCCCCGAAAUAGCUUUAGGGCUAGCCUUAAGUGUAAGAGUCUUGGAGGUAGAGCACUGAUUGAACUAGGGGUCCUCAUCGGAUUACCGAAUUCAGUCAAACUCCGAAUGCCAAUGACUUAUCCUUAGGAGUCAGACUGCGAGUGAUAAGAUCCGUAGUCAAGAGGGAAACAGCCCAGAUCGCCAGCUAAGGUCCCAAAGUGUGUAUUAAGUGGAAAAGGAUGUGGAGUUGCUUAGACAACUAGGAUGUUGGCUUAGAAGCAGCCACCAUUUAAAGAGUGCGUAAUAGCUCACUAGUCGAGUGACUCUGCGCCGAAAAUGUACCGGGGCUAAAUACACCACCGAAGCUGCGAAUUGAUACCAAUGGUAUCAGUGGUAGGGGAGCGUUCUAAGUGCAGUGAAGUCAGACCGGAAGGACUGGUGGAGCGCUUAGAAGUGAGAAUGCCGGUAUGAGUAGCGAAAGACGGGUGAGAAUCCCGUCCACCGAAUGCCUAAGGUUUCCUGAGGAAGGCUCGUCCGCUCAGGGUUAGUCAGGACCUAAGCCGAGGCCGACAGGCGUAGGCGAUGGACAACAGGUUGAUAUUCCUGUACCACCUCUUUAUCGUUUGAGCAAUGGAGGGACGCAGAAGGAUAGAAGAAGCGUGCGAUUGGUUGUGCACGUCCAAGCAGUUAGGCUGAUAAGUAGGCAAAUCCGCUUAUCAUGAAGGCUGAGCUGUGAUGGGGAAGCUCCUUAUGGAGCGAAGUCUUUGAUUCCCCGCUGCCAAGAAAAGCUUCUAGCGAGAUAAAAGGUGCCUGUACCGCAAACCGACACAGGUAGGCGAGGAGAGAAUCCUAAGGUGUGCGAGAGAACUCUGGUUAAGGAACUCGGCAAAAUGACCCCGUAACUUCGGGAGAAGGGGUGCUUUCUUAACGGAAAGCCGCAGUGAAUAGGCCCAAGCGACUGUUUAGCAAAAACACAGCUCUCUGCGAAGCCGUAAGGCGAAGUAUAGGGGGUGACACCUGCCCGGUGCUGGAAGGUUAAGGAGAGGGGUUAGCGUAAGCGAAGCUCUGAACUGAAGCCCCAGUAAACGGCGGCCGUAACUAUAACGGUCCUAAGGUAGCGAAAUUCCUUGUCGGGUAAGUUCCGACCCGCACGAAAGGUGUAACGAUUUGGGCACUGUCUCAACCAGAGACUCGGUGAAAUUAUAGUACCUGUGAAGAUGCAGGUUACCCGCGACAGGACGGAAAGACCCCGUGGAGCUUUACUGUAGCCUGAUAUUGAAUUUUGGUACAGUUUGUACAGGAUAGGCGGGAGCCAUUGAAACCGGAGCGCUAGCUUCGGUGGAGGCGCUGGUGGGAUACCGCCCUGACUGUAUUGAAAUUCUAACCUACGGGUCUUAUCGACCCGGGAGACAGUGUCAGGUGGGCAGUUUGACUGGGGCGGUCGCCUCCUAAAGUGUAACGGAGGCGCCCAAAGGUUCCCUCAGAAUGGUUGGAAAUCAUUCGUAGAGUGCAAAGGCAUAAGGGAGCUUGACUGCGAGACCUACAAGUCGAGCAGGGACGAAAGUCGGGCUUAGUGAUCCGGUGGUUCCGCAUGGAAGGGCCAUCGCUCAACGGAUAAAAGCUACCCCGGGGAUAACAGGCUUAUCUCCCCCAAGAGUCCACAUCGACGGGGAGGUUUGGCACCUCGAUGUCGGCUCAUCGCAUCCUGGGGCUGUAGUCGGUCCCAAGGGUUGGGCUGUUCGCCCAUUAAAGCGGUACGCGAGCUGGGUUCAGAACGUCGUGAGACAGUUCGGUCCCUAUCCGUCGUGGGCGUAGGAAAUUUGAGAGGAGCUGUCCUUAGUACGAGAGGACCGGGAUGGACGCACCGCUGGUGUACCAGUUGUUCUGCCAAGGGCAUAGCUGGGUAGCUAUGUGCGGAAGGGAUAAGUGCUGAAAGCAUCUAAGCAUGAAGCCCCCCUCAAGAUGAGAUUUCCCAUAGCGUAAGCUAGUAAGAUCCCUGAAAGAUGAUCAGGUUGAUAGGUUCGAGGUGGAAGCAUGGUGACAUGUGGAGCUGACGAAUACUAAUAGAUCGAGGACUUAACCAU
rnacentral:rRNA from 1 species